CCUCCUGGCAGAGAGAGAAUUAAAAAAAUCGCAGUUAGUCACAUGCCCCUGGCAUCGUUUGGUGAAUUGAGAAGUCAGGGUCUUGCAGAACGGCUCCAGUCCAAAGAACAAAGUCAAAGGGCUCAUACUUCUGCUCCCUGAGCACAGGUGUCCUCUCCCAGGUCCAAUCCCACCCAAGCCUGCAGCAUAACAACUUCUGGAAGGGUUUUC